UGGCCAUCCAAUUCUGCAAACACCGGUUCUCGUCCAAUCACCAAAGUUAAGCAUCUUCGGGCGAUGUCAAUAAUAGGAAGGGAGAUAACCUGGGAACACUGCGUGCCGUUG